rnacentral:rRNA from 2 species
GCGGGGAAGAGUAGCUUGCUACUUUACCUAGCGGCGGACGGGUGAGUAAUGCUUAGGAAUCUGCCUAUUAGUGGGGGACAACAUCUCGAAAGGGAUGCUAAUACCGCAUACGUCCUACGGGAGAAAGCAGGGGACCUUCGGGCCUUGCGCUAAUAGAUGAGCCUAAGUCGGAUUAGCUAGUUGGUGGGGUAAAGGCCUACCAAGGCGACGAUCUGUAGCGGGUCUGAGAGGAUGAUCCGCCACACUGGGACUGAGACACGGCCCAGACUCCUACGGGAGGCAGCAGUGGGGAAUAUUGGACAAUGGGGGGAACCCUGAUCCAGCCAUGCCGCGUGUGUGAAGAAGGCCUUUUGGUUGUAAAGCACUUUAAGCGAGGAGGAGGCUACCGAGAUUAAUACUCUUGGAUAGUGGACGUUACUCGCAGAAUAAGCACCGGCUAACUCUGUGCCAGCAGCCGCGGUAAUACAGAGGGUGCAAGCGUUAAUCGGAUUUACUGGGCGUAAAGCGCGCGUAGGUGGCCAAUUAAGUCAAAUGUGAAAUCCCCGAGCUUAACUUGGGAAUUGCAUUCGAUACUGGUUGGCUAGAGUAUGGGAGAGGAUGGUAGAAUUCCAGGUGUAGCGGUGAAAUGCGUAGAGAUCUGGAGGAAUACCGAUGGCGAAGGCAGCCAUCUGGCCUAAUACUGACACUGAGGUGCGAAAGCAUGGGGAGCAAACAGGAUUAGAUACCCUGGUAGUCCAUGCCGUAAACGAUGUCUACUAGCCGUUGGGGCCUUUGAGGCUUUAGUGGCGCAGCUAACGCGAUAAGUAGACCGCCUGGGGGAGUACGGUCGCAAGACUAAAACUCAAAUGAAUUGACGGGGGCCCGCACAAGCGGUGGAGCAUGUGGUUUAAUUCGAUGCAACGCGAAGAACCUUACCUGGUCUUGACAUAGUAAGAACUUUCCAGAGAUGGAUUGUGCCUUCGGGAACUUACAUACA